CUGUGCUCUGCAGGCUUGCACUGGGGCACUGCAAUGGAAAUAUCUCGCUGCUAGCUCAAGGCUGGGACCGGCAGUGGGUCCAUGCAUUAACGUCCUAAAAAAAAGGUGACCCUGGCCAUUCUUUUCUGGAAAAUCUCUUUUUUUAGGGUGAGAAAAGCUGUGGCACAUUAGAAUCCACUGCAAAGCACUGACAGCUCAGCGGAUUUGUUGCAAGGCAGGACACCAUGCAAAGGUGGAGGCAGUGAAGCUGAAUUUGAAGGAGGGCAUCUGCCCUGUGAGAUCAGAACCGUGUGUGUUUGAAGAAGCAGCGCCCGGAGCGGUGCCCAAGGCACUUCCAUCAUCAGAGCCCAAGCGCAAUAAACUUGGAGGCAGUCAUAAAAAGGACGUAUUUGCUGCUGAC
rnacentral:lncRNA from 1 species